rnacentral:misc_RNA from 1 species
GAUGAAGAACGUAGCGAAAUGCGAUAAGUAGUGUGAAUUGCAGAAUUCAGUGAAUCAUCGAAUCUUUGAACGCACAUUGCGCCCCAUGGUAUUCCGUGGGGCAUGCCUGUUCGAGCGUCAUUUACCCCCUCAAGCCCCCGGGCUUGGUGUUGGGGAUCGGCGAGCCUCCGCGCCCGCCGUCCCCUAAAUCUAGUGGCGGUCUCGCUGUAGCUUCCUCUGCGUAGUAGCACACCUCGCACUGGGAAACAGCGCGGCCACGCCGUUAAACCCCCAACUUCUGAACGUUUGACCUCGGAUCAGGUAGGAAUACCCGCUGAACUUAAGCAUAUCAAUAAGCGGAGGA